GCCCACCUUGGCCUCCCAAAAUGCUGGGAUUACAGGCGUGAGCCACUGCACACAGCCAUGUGUGUGUAUUUUUUUUUUUUGUAGAGAUGGGGUUUCAUCAUUUUAGCCAGGCUGGUCUUGAAUUCCUGACCUCAAGUGAUCCACCUGCCUCAGCCUCCCAAAGUGCUGGGAUUAUAGGAAGCCACCGUGCCCAGACUAGAAUCUUUCAAAGGGACGAUCUCCUCACUGAAGCAAAUUCACGUAUCUCCUGGCAGGCCUUGGGUUUACCACUGCUCACCUGGCAAAAGCAUUUUCCCCAGUAGGAUAAGCAGGUGUGCCAUUUCCCGAGGGUAUGCGGCACACCCUUACUUUCUAACUCAAGGUCAAGUUCAUCAUCUUCAACUCUGCCUCUAGGAAUGAGGAACUCUGGAGAGCUUCUUUGGAUUUUGGAGGCAAUGUGGCUCAUAUUUAAAUAGCUUGCUUUGACCCAUUUGCCGGGAAAUCUGAAAGCAACUUUGGUCCAUGGUUAAUGUUUGAUACUGUGUCCAUCUACGCUGAGCUUCUACACCUGAGUGGAGGACAAGGGUCCCUGGGUGUGCUUGGAACUGGUGGUGGGCGUGAGGGGAUGGUGCUGUCAGAGGCCUGAAAGAUGAUCUGACGACCUCUGCAUCUCAUGAGUCAGGCUCCUGGAAGAACUGUGGGGAGUCUCCCAAAUCAUGAAACCAGAAAAUUAGACCAGACGUCUCACAUUUCCUCUUAAGCUGAAUAAGAGCUUACCUCAUCCUGAUGUUAAGAGCUGCUUUGUUCAUUCCACGUGAGCCUACCUUGUAGCAAGGGGGCUUAUUUAUAAACCUAACAGCAGAAACCUGCUUACUUUAAAAUAAGCAGUGAAAGGGCGAAGCAAAGAAGAAAGAUGGCAGAUGGAAGUGAAACGGAUGUGAUCAGUGGCAGUAUAUAAAGUUAACAUUUCCCUCUUAUUCAUAAAAAGAAGUGGAUACUUGGCUGGGUGUGAUAGCUCACACCUGUAAUCCCAGCACUUUGGGAUGCCAAGGAGGGCAGACUACUGGAGGUCAGGAGUUUGAAACCAGCCUGACCAACAUGGUGAAACUCUGACUCUACUAAAAAUACAAAAAAAAAAAAAGUUAUCCUUGUUUGACGGCACGUGUCUGUAAUCCCAGCUACUCAGGAGGCUGAGGCAGAAUUGCUGGAACCCGGGAGGUGGAGGUUGCCGCGAGCUGAGAUCAUGCCACAGCACUCCAGCCUGGAGUCACAGUGAGAUUCUGUCUUCAAAAAAAAAAAAAAGAAAGAAAAUUUUAUCACCCA
rnacentral:lncRNA from 13 species